AUUGAACACUGGCGGCAUGCUUUACACAUGCAAGUCGAACGGUAACAGGGUGCUUGCACCGCUGACGAGUGGCGAACGGGUGAGUAAUGCGUCGGAACGCACCGAGUAAUGGGGGAUAACGCAGCGAAAGCUGUGCUAAUACCGCAUGCGCUCUGAGGAGGAAAGCGGGGGACCUUCGGGCCUCGCGUUAUUCGAGCGGCCGACGUCUGAUUAGCUAGUAGGUGAGGUAAGAGCUCACCUAGGCGACGAUCAGUAGCGGGUCUGAGAGGAUGAUCCGCCACACUGGGACUGAGACACGGCCCAGACUCCUACGGGAGGCAGCAGUGGGGAAUUUUGGACAAUGGGCGCAGGCCUGAUCCAGCCAUGCCGCGUGUCUGAAGAAGGCCUUCGGGUUGUAAAGGACUUUUGUCAGGGAGGAAAUCCUUAGCGCUAAUACCGUUGAGGGAUGACAGUACCUGAAGAAUAAGCACCGGCUAACUACGUGCCAGCCGCCGCAGUAA
rnacentral:rRNA from 1 species